rnacentral:rRNA from 1 species
UGGGGAAUUUUGGACAAUGGGCGAAAGCCUGAUCCAGCAAUGCCGCGUGUGUGAAGAAGGCCUUCGGGUUGUAAAGCACUUUUGUCCGGAAAGAAAUCCUUGGCUCUAAUACAGUCGGGGGAUGACGGUACCGGAAGAAUAAGCACCGGCUAACCACGUGCCAGCAGCCGCGGUAAUACGUAGGGUGCAAGCGUUAAUCGGAAUUACUGGGCGUAAAGCGUGCGCAGGCGGUUUGCUAAGACCGAUGUGAAAUCCCCGGGCUCAACCUGGGAACUGCAUUGGUGACUGGCAGGCUAGAGUAUGGCAGAGGGGGGUAGAAUUCCACGUGUAGCAGUGAAAUGCGUAGAGAUGUGGAGGAAUACCGAUGGCGAAGGCAGCCCCCUGGGCCAAAUACUGACGCUCAUGCACGAAAAGCGUGGGGAGCAAACAGGAUUAGAUACCCUGGUAGUCCACGCCCUAAACGAUGUCAACUAGUUGUUGGGGAUUCAUUUCCUUAGUAACGUAGCUAACGCGUGAAGUUGACCGCCUGGGGAGUACGGUCGCAAGAUUAAAACUCAAAUGAAUUGACGGGGUCAUAGCUGUUUCCU